rnacentral:rRNA from 1 species
UACGGAGGAUCCAAGCGUUAUCCGGAAUCAUUGGGUUUAAAGGGUCCGUAGGCGGUUUAGUAAGUCAGUGGUGAAAGCCCAUCGCUCAACGGUGGAACGGCCAUUGAUACUGCUAAACUUGAAUUAUUAGGAAGUAACUAGAAUAUGUAGUGUAGCGGUGAAAUGCUUAGAGAUUACAUGGAAUACCAAUUGCGAAGGCAGGUUACUACUAAUGGAUUGACGCUGAGUGACGAAA